rnacentral:misc_RNA from 1 species
AUAUAAGCAGAAUAUAGAUCUGAAAAAAGGACGCAGGCAUGUAAUCUGAUUGUAGUUGCUUGUGCUCGUGUAACAUUUGAUCGUCAUUUCAAUGCCAUUGGUUUGUGGAGUACGUUGAAUAAGGGUAGGCUUCUUCUGUCGGGCUUAGACUCAAAAGUGCCAUGUUCCUUGUUGCAAAUUUGCUUUCUUUUGUCAUCCUCGUAUAAUGGCUACCCAUCGGUUUGUAA